CCAAAGUGGAACAAAAAGAAAGGCUCCAGUGACAACGGAAUCAUAGAGACAGGCACAACUCAGAGUUGGAGAGGUUGUCAGACCAUUGGGGAGGGGAUGUGAAAGAGAAGUCUGAAAGAAGUCAUUAGUUCUAUAACUUGGUAAGCAGGUAUGUUACUGUCACGUGCACUGAGGUACAGAGAAAACCCUGUUUUGCGUACCGUUCGUACAGAUCAGAUCGAUACAACAGUGAACUGAGGUAGAACAAGGACAGCACAGUGACAGAGUGCAGAAUGCAGUGUUACAGCUCCACAGAUGCCGCCUGGCUGGCUGAGCUCUCCUGUUCUCCUUGCAGCUUCUAGCAUCUGCAGUUGUAUUUGAUUUCCAGUUUGAAAGAACUGUAAAGACAGAUUAAAUCCUUAACUCCACCUCAUCCGGGGUCCUCAUUCAUUGUCACCGAUAACCCUGGGUUGAUACUGAAUGUCGAAGCCCAAAGGUCAAUUGGAAGUCGAGAGGUUGAGGCCGGACGGCUGAAGCCCCAAGCCAGUGGGCCCACCUCGGAAGUGAAAGGCCCAGAGUUUGCGAAUCCUCUGGAGGCUGGAGGCCAAAGCUGGUCAGAGGACUGUAUGUUGCCUGACCUGCUGAGCUCCUCCGGCAGACUGUGCGUUGUUCCAGAUUCCAGCAUCUGCCAUCUCUUGGGUCUCCAUGGAAACGGGGUGAUCUCACAAGAUCUGCAAGCGCAAGUUUUCACCAUACAUUAAUGAGGAAGAGUGAACAGUAAACGGUUAACCUUACUGCGACCCUGUUUUCAUUGACUACGGUUUACCUCGUUGUUUAGUUCGGCGUUCUCUUACACCCGAGAGAGAAUACUACAACACCACUGUUGUGAACUGUAUCAAAGGGGCUGAUGAAUCAGCAUACAGGAGGGAGAUUGAAAACUUGUCCAAGUCGUUUUAUAACAACACCCUCUCACUCAAUGUCAAUAAGACCAAGGAACUGAUUGUAGACUUUAGGAGAGGGAAACCAGAGAGGUCUGUGAGUGAGUAAUCAUCAGAGGAUCAGAGGCAGAGAGGGUCAGUAACUUUAUAUUCCAGGGUGUCACUAUCUCAGAGGACCUGUCCUAUGCCCAUCAUUUAAAAGUAAUUGCGAAGAAAGUAUGACAGCACCUCUAUUUCCUCAGGAGUCUGUGGAGAUUUAGCACGUCUUCAAGAACCUUGGCAAACUUCCACAAACGUGUGAUGAAAACUGUGCUGGCUGGCUGAUACAGGAGCAUCAAUGCUUUUGAGCAGAAAAUUCUACAAAAGGUAGUGGAUUCAACCCAGUACAUCACGAGUAAAACCCUCGCAACCAUUGAGCACAUCUACAUGAAAUGUUACUGUAGGAAAGCAGCAUCCAUCUUCAAAGAUCCUCACCACCCAGGCCGUGCUCGUUUCUCACUGCUGCCAUCAGGUAGAAGGUACAAGGGCCCCAGGACUUGCACCACCAGGUUCAAGAACAAUUACUAUCCCUCAGUCAUCCAGAAUCUUGAACAAAAGGGGAAAACUACACACAUUUAUGGACUCUGUUAUCUUGUUAUUUCAUGCUUGUUACUACUUAUUUAUAUCUGCAUUUGCACAGGUUGUUCACAGUUUAUAGAUUUGCUAAGUAUGCCCACAGAAAAAGAAUCUUGGAGUUGUAAAGUAAAUUUUACCUUGAAAUUGUGAAC